AAAAGGCAAAUCUUCGGCAAAGGGAGGCUCGGGUCAAUAUCAUCAGUGUUACAUGCAUGAUGUUGUAACAGAUGCACUGCCUUUUGAAUUGCCACAGCAACAAAAUGAUCCAAAUGA